AUUGAACGCUGGCGGCAUGCCUAACACAUGCAAGUCGAACGGCAGCACGAUGUGUAGCAAUACAUAUUGGUGGCGAGUGGCGGACGGGUGAGUAACGCGUAGGGAUCUACCUUUUAGUGGGGGAUAACCUGGGGAAACCUGGGCUAAUACCGCAUAAUCUCCAAGGAGGAAAGGAUGGCGCAAGCCAUGUGCUAGAAGAUGAACCUACGUCGGAUUAGCUGGUUGGUGGGGUAAAGGCCUACCAAGGCGAAGAUCCGUAGCUGGUCUGAGAGGAUGAUCAGCCACACUGGGACUGAGACACGGCCCAGACUCCUACGGGAGGCAGCAGUGGGGAAUAUUGGACAAUGGGGGCGAACCCUGAUCCAGCGAUGCCGCGUGUGCGAAGAAGGCCUGCGGGUUGUAAAGCACUUUGAGUGGGAAGAAAGGAGUGGUUCUAACAGGGCCAUAAGAUGACGUUACCCACAGAACAAGCA
rnacentral:rRNA from 1 species